rnacentral:rRNA from 1 species
CUACGGGACGCAGCAGUUAGGAAUAAUCUGCAAUGCGCGCAAGCGUGACAGUUUGAGCCAGAGUGUUUAUCUAUUGAUAAGCUUUUGCCAAAUGUAAAAAGUUUGGCGAAUAAGGACUGGGUAAGACUAGUGCCAGCCGCCGCGGUAAUACUAGCGGUCCAAGUCGCAGCCAUUAUUAUUGGGUCUAAAACAUCCGUAGCUUGCUUAAUAAGUUUCUUGUGAAAUCUUGUGUCUUAAACGCAAGGCGAGCGGGAAAUACUGUUAAGCUAGAGACUGGGAGGCGGUGAGAAGUACGUUCAAAGUAGCGGUAAAAUGUGUUAAUCUUGGACGGACUCACAAUAGCGAAGGCAUCUCACGAGAACAGUUCUGACAGUAAGGGAUGAAGGCUAGGGGCGCAAAACGGAUUAGAUACCCGGGUAGUC